rnacentral:rRNA from 1 species
UACGUAGGGUGCAAGCGUUAAUCGGAAUUACUGGGCGUAAAGCGUGCGCAGGCGGUGAUGUAAGACAGGUGUGAAAUCCCCGGGCUUAACCUGGGAAUGGCAAUGGAAACUGGCGGGCUGGAGUAUGGCAGAGGGGGGUGGAAUUCCGCGUGUAGCAGUGAAAUGCGUAGAGAUGCGGAGGAACACCGAUGGCGAAGGCAGCCCCCUGGGCCAAUACUGACGCUCAGGCACGAAAGCGUGGGGAGCAAACAGG